UGUUGGUGAUGGUGAUGAUGGUGGUGAUGAUUAUGAUGAUGGUGUUGGUAAUGGUGAUCAUCGUCGUCAUCAUCAUCAUCAUCGUCUUCGUCAUGG
rnacentral:pre_miRNA from 1 species